CCCCUCUCAGGAUGGCACCUGGAGAGUUUCCAGUCCUCUACCAGGCUCGGCUAUGGGAGGGAGAAUCAAGCAAAGACCUACCCUUUCCAUUCCUAGCUUGGGCAGUGGCUAGUGAGUGGAAGGCAACCUGCUACAAGU